rnacentral:rRNA from 1 species
UACGGGGGGGGUAAGCGUUGUUCGGAAUUACUGGGCGUAAAGGGCUCGUAGGCGGCCAACUAAGUCAUACGUGAAAUCCCUCAGCUUAACUGGGGAACUGCGUGUGAUACUGGAUGGCUUGGAUUUGGGAGAGGGAUGCGGAAUUCCAGGUGUAGCGGUGAAAUGCGUAGAUAUCUGGAGGAACACCGGUGGCGAAGGCGGUGCUCUGGGCCAGUAUUGACGCUGAGGAGCGAAAGCGUGGGUAGCAAACAGG